CCCGCGUGUAAAUAAUUCGCCGGCCGGUUUCGUAGCGAGUGAGAUAUCACGGUGACAUAACAAUGCGCAGCUGGCACGCAUUAUCGCGAAUCUCGUUCGCGCGGAAUGCCGGGUUACGCGCAUGCGCGCCAAAUCUCCGGCCACUUUUCAGGUUAUGUUAACUUUUUUCUCGAUGUAUUUAAAUGCAUCGCUUGCUCAUCAAAGGUUUUUGUUAACCUCGCAUAAAUGAAACUAUGAAAGAUAAAAUAGUUUAUUACGUAAUUUAUCAUUAUGUAGCAGUGUUUUGAUAAAACGUAAAAGAUUUGAUGAAUUUUUUGAAUUCAGUUACACGAGACAGGUGGGCAACAAUGUAUAGAACAUACGAAUGUUCAAAAUAACCUCAAAAUAGCGUCACUAACACAAAACUCAUGUGUACGUCUCCGCAACUUCUACUCUUCUCCACAAAACAACUGUCAUAUUUCGGUAGUGCGACGAAGAUAAAUAAAAAUAGAAAGUCGGUGAAUGAUAUACGAAAUAGAAGAAACUUUCCUUUUCCAAUGACCGUAGUGAGGCAACGAUGACCGUGUUAAAAUUCUCCGAGCGUUUGUCGGCCAGGUAUCAAAAGGAUUUCGCGUGGAGAGAAAUAAACUAUGACUAUGACUAUAAACAAGAUGGAUGACUAUAAGCAAGAUGGAUGACUAUGACUAUGGUGCAUGACUAUAAUUAUAACUUUCAAAGUUACACAACAUGAAAGAAAUAAAUUAAUACAUAAAAUGGAUUAACAGAUGAACAGAUAAAUUAGUAGAUUAACAGACCAACACAAGAACGUACUGCAAUAUUGAAUUUACUACUAUGUUGCUACUACGAAUUGAUACAACUUAAGGUUCAGUUUGAUAUCAAUGUAACUAAAUUAGUUUCAAUCAAAUCAAGCUUAAUUACUAUCGAUUUCAAUCAAAGCAAGUUUAAUUACCAUAUACACGUAUUAUACAAGAUAUUCCAGUAAAAUGUAUACGCACGUUGUCGCUGUAUGCAAUUUGAUGAAUAAAAUGAAUGGAAGACUCAAAAUGGCCGCCAUCAAUGCCUUUUGAUGUAAUUUUUAUGGUUGAUGUUCUGAGUGUUUGUGUAUUGCUGUGUAUUCAUCUAUUUAUCUAUGUGUUUAUUUGUAUAAGUAGCUGUCUAUUUAUCUACAUAUU
rnacentral:misc_RNA from 1 species